rnacentral:lncRNA from 1 species
CAAAGUGACUCGGAAUAAAGGGCUUCAGCUACAGAGACGCUGCUGAUCACUGCAGGGGGCUGUUUCCAUCUCUCUCCAGUACCUGGGGAUAUUUUAUGGGGAAGAGGUGAAGAGGCUCACAGUGUUGGGUGGCUUGGAGAGCACAUGAACACAACAAAUGAGCUUCACUUCUCUUUCCUCUCACCCACCCCACAAAUCCCACUCCAGUGUGGUUCUUCAUCAAAGCUCACAUGAUGUGAUCCGAUACUCGCCUGUCCUCGGGGAAAGAAAAAGCACUGAGUGAUUCCUUUUGUUUUAAGCUGUGUAAUUGGUGAGAUCCUUGGAAAACUGACUGCCCAGAGCUCUGGAGCUUUCAGCCUUCACGCUAACGCACGGGCCCAGCUGGCUGGAGAUUAAAGCGCACAGUUGAAAACCAAAAAGCAUUUGAAAUUGCACCACUGAGCUGGCAGGAAAUUCCAGCUUUUUGUAGAUGUUGGAGGCGUUGGAACGGCGAGGAACCAGAAGGCUGCCAAAGAUUAUCACUCCAGCAACAAUGCUUACAGGCAGCUGAAGAACUCGAGGCCUCCUGUGAAGCCUUUGGCACCAAUGGAAGACUUCAGCUUCCUCUUCUCUCAUCCCCUUUCCUCCCCCCCUCACCAAGAGCAAAUCAAGCCCUGCUAGCAUGAGCGGUGGAGAACAGAAUCUGCAUUGACGACAGAUGGAACGAAUGUUAUGGAUGCAUCCCAGGCCCUGAGCUGUUGUGCCACAUAAAUCAGUAGUAAAACUUUGCCAACUCAGAAUGCUUCACAGGACUAGACUAUCAGCCAGCUUAAUGUCUGGCUCUGCAACCCCAAAAUUGCAUGGUCCAAAUAAAAAAAAAUAAAAUAAAAUAGUGAAUGUGUG